rnacentral:misc_RNA from 1 species
GAAAUGCGAUAAUUAAUGUGAAUUGCAGAAUUCAGUGAAUCAUCGAGUCUUUGAACGCACAUUGCGCCCCCUGGUAUUCCGGGGGGCAUGCCUGUCCGAGCGUCAUUGCUGCCCUCAAGCACGGCUUGUGUGUUGGGCUUCCGUCCCUGGCAACGGGGACGGGCCCAAAAGGCAGUGGCGGCACCAUGUCUGGUCCUCGAGCGUAUGGGGCUUUGUCACCCGCUCUCGUAGGUCCAGCUGGCAGCUAGCCUCGCAACCAAUCUUUUUAACCAGGUUGACCUCGGAUCAGGUAGGGAUACCCGCUGAACUUAAGC